UACAGAGGUGGCAAGCGUUGUUCGGAAUCACUGGGCUUAAAGGGCGCGUAGGCGGUCGGAAGGGUGUCCUGUGAAAUCCCUCGGCUCAACCGAGGAACUGCGGGGCAAACCGUUCGACUUGAGGCAGGUAGGGGCCGGUGGAACUCUGGGUGGAGCGGUGAAAUGCGUAGAUAUCCAGGGGAACGCCAAUGGUGAAAACAGCCGGCUGGGCCUGUCCUGACGCUGAGGCGCGAAAGCCAGGGGAGCAAACGGG
rnacentral:rRNA from 1 species